rnacentral:rRNA from 1 species
GAUGAACGCUGGCGGCGUGCCUAAUACAUGCCAGUCGAGCGAACAGACGAGGAGCUUGCUCCUCUGACGUUAGCGGCGGACGGGUGAGUAACACGUGGAUAACCUACCUAUAAGACUGGGAUAACUUCGGGAAACCGGAGCUAAUACCGGAUAAUAUAUUGAACCGCAUGGUUCAAUAGUGAAAGACGGUUUUGCUGUCACUUAUAGAUGGAUCCGCGCCGCAUUAGCUAGUUGGUAAGGUAACGGCUUACCAAGGCAACGAUGCGUAGCCGACCUGAGAGGGUGAUCGGCCACACUGGAACUGAGACACGGUCCAGACUCCUACGGGAGGCAGCAGUAGGGAAUCUUCCGCAAUGGGCGAAAGCCUGACGGAGCAACGCCGCGUGAGUGAUGAGGGUCUUCGGAUCGUAAAACUCUGUUAUUAGGGAAGAACAAAUGUGUAAGUAACUAUGCACGUCUUGACGGUACCUAAUCAGAAAGCCACGGCUAACUACGUG